rnacentral:lncRNA from 1 species
GAGGAUCCGCGAGCGAGAACCAAUCCGCGGACGUGGACGAUAACCGACCGUGAACACCGUCACUGUGAGUGGAAUAUACAAAACCUAUUUUUAUACAAAACCUUUGCGAAAUAAGUAUUUUAAAUGUUCUGAUUUAAUGACUUCCUCGAACUGGAUUUUAUUCACGCAUUGGUAUAUUAUUAAAAUGUUUGGUUAAUGGUUUUGUGUAUCGACUUUGAAUAAGCAUGAUAAUAUUUUAAAGAUAAGAAAAGUGGAUUCAAAUGUGGUAUGAUUUAAAGUAUGAUUAAAAUGUAUGUGAAUAUGAGUAUAAUGAUUGUUUUUGAAAUCAUUAGACAGUACCCUUCCCUCCAGAUACAGUGAUACAGAUGAGAUGAGAUGAGAUGAGAGGCCUUUGGGGCCCGUCUGAACACACAUAGAGGCUUUGGGCCGUGUGUUUGGGCGCUUUUGCCUUUUGGGGGCAUAUGCAUGCGGUAUGAUGAUUACAGAGAUACAUAUAUGAGAUACAGACAGAUAUUGAGAUACAGAUGAUACAGAUGAGAUACAGGCCUUUGGGGCCCGU